rnacentral:lncRNA from 1 species
AAGGAAGGAUUCAGCUAAAAGGAGAAGAGAAGAGCCACAGGUAAUGCUGCAGAAAGAUCAAGGCAAAUGAACAACAAAAGAAAGCAUUGGAGUUUUGGGGGGACAACAAUAAAACAGUUUAUUGAGAAGUUUACUGAGGACAUCAUAUGAGUUUUCUAGGAGGAAGACAGAGGAACAUUUCAGAAGUCAAGCCCAGCUGUGAUAGUGGGAGAG